rnacentral:rRNA from 1 species
UACGGAAGGUCCGGGCGUUAUCCGGAUUUAUUGGGUUUAAAGGGAGCGUAGGCCGGUCUUUAAGCGUGCCGUGAAAUUUUGUGGCUCAACCAUGAGAGUGCGGCGCGAACUGGAGACCUUGAGUGCGCGGAAGGCAGGCGGAAUUCGUGGUGUAGCGGUGAAAUGCUUAGAUAUCAUGAAGAACUCCGAUCGCGAAGGCAAGUGUCCGGGGUGCAACUGACGCUGAGGCUCGAAAGUGCGGGUAUCAAACAGG